UGAGGAGUCCCACAACAGGACGAAACGGCCGUC
rfam:Schistosoma mansoni strain Puerto Rico chromosome 2, complete genome